ensembl:lincRNA linc-152 ncRNA
GUUUUCUAAGGUUGUUUUCAGUUUUUUUUUUUUUUCCAGACAAAAACCUAAAACCUAAAACCACCGGAAAAGUUUGCAAAAUGUCUUCCUAUUUUCUGCAAGAAGGCGCUGAAAAACACGGGAAACACGUCAGUAACCCAGUUGUUUUUUUGUUGCCACUUUUGGUACAAACAACAACAGAACUGUGUAUAUAAAGGAGGGAGAAGCUAUCAGUUUUUCACACUUUUCUUUGUGUAGCUAUAUCUCCCUGAAUACUAGAGAUAGGAAAAAGUGCCUAACUAUAAAAAUAUAGGUUGUGAAAUUUUAAAUAUUUUGUUAGUUGGCAAUUUUUUGCUAGCUUUAUUCCCCGCUGAGAUAUGAACCUAUUAUCAAGGUCUACCUCCACUCUAGGGUUCUCGCUCUUCAAACGCUUAUAACUUUACGAAUUUAAUAAAUAAAAAAAAGUUGUCCACUAAUAAAGUCUAGCUCACAUUUUUCUAAGUAUUAUCUCAGUUGGCAAUUUUGCCAUAGCUCCACUACCCGCCGAGAUAUGGGUAGUCAAAGCCACCCAUACUCUCAACUUCGAAACUUUCACAAAAAUUCGACCCCUUCUAAAUCUGAUAAAAGAAAAGAAAAAAUUCGCGCUGAUUUCUGAUUUCAAUAUUGUCAUCAAUGUCUUACAAUUAGACCAACGGUCGAAAUUAUGAUUUUCCGGCCACUUUUUUUUUUGAUAAACCAGUUGUUACCUUGUUCUAUGAUUAAGAAAUGGAAGGGCGGAUUGAAAAAGAGAAAAUUCUAGAAAAAACACAAAAAAGUUGCCAAAAGUCGGCAACAAUCGCUCAACUUUCGGCAGUUUUCUGGAGAAGCUGCGCAGCCGACACUGAGCGAGGCUCGCGUAAUGAUAGCUGUGAGAAAGGGAGCGGCCGGCAAUAAACUAGGCUCGCGUUGUGAUACUCAGAAAGGGGAAGCAACCGACAUCAAACGAGGCUCGCGUAUGUUCGCCCAGCUAUUAUCAGUCUUCGACGAACUUUCAAAGUUGCUACCAAAGACCAAAGUAUCCUGGCGACUACAGCAAAAUAAGUAUUGCUUCUUUUUCUAGUGCAUCCGGAGCUAAAAAUAGCUGCUCCUUCUCCUCACACGCUCUCACUCAUUGGCUCUUUUUGCUCCUCUCUUCUUUUUUUUCUCUUUUCCUCUUCGGAGCAUCAUCAUCAUCGAGAAAGAGCAGCAGAGCAGUGGUCUUCUUCUACUUCUUAUUCUAGUACAACUGGCCACUCUCCAACUCUCUGCGUCUCUUAUCACCCCCUAUUCUACUUUCCCAUUGAUUUUUUGUUUUCACCGCCACCACCACCAUUUGGUUCCGGGGACGGCGGAUCCUUGCCUCCUUGCUCCUUAACUUUUUGAUUUUUGUAUUGCUUUUUGUUGGAAUUUUAUCAAAACUGUUACCAACAUAAAUGUUAUCAUAUCUUCGUUGUAAUAUGACCUAGGGAAAAAUGAUUAACUAUCAAAAUAUUGGAAUUUUUAUAACUAAUAUUUUGUCAGUUGGCAAAUUUUUUAUAGCUCGUAUACUUUUUGAAAUAUAAGGCUUUAAAAAAAAUUUCUAAACUUUCGCGAUUUUUUCCUUACAAAAAAAAAGUUUGCCAUAUUUGUUGAGUUGAUAAUUUUUUAUUCUAAUUUUUUUUAAAUUUAUUCUUAAUUUUGAAAAAAAAUAAUGAAUUGCUAAGCGGGAAUUCAAAAAUAAUUAAUUUAAAAUUGGAAAAAUCCCACAAAAAUUAAAAAAAAAAUUUCCAAGUUUCCAAAACAAUUUCCCCCUUAAAAGUUAAUUUUUUGUUUUUCAGCAAGAGCAAAAUAUUUUUUAAAAUUUGCAAGUAUUCUCCAAAUGAAUAUUCAUCUCCACCCACACUUUCCGUAUCCAUGACAACGUCUCUUCGCACCUUUCCGGAUUUUUUUUUGCUCCCUGCUUCUAUUUUCUGGCUUUUUUUGAGUCAUAGAUCUAGAAAUAAUUGAGGUUUUAUUUGCGUACAAAUUUUAAUCUCCUUGUACAUUUUACACUUUUUCUGAUCUAAGUACUUUGAGUUAAGGUUUUUUGGGAAUUUUUGUGUUUUCUAGCUUAAAAAACCGUUCUUUUUUGCAAAUUAAUUUAUAUAAAAUGUUAAACUUG